UUUUUUUUUUCUUUACUUGAAAGGGCCAUGCUUGCAAGUGAAUAUUAGACAUUGCAUGAUUUUCUAAUAUUCUCUCCAGUUUUCUACACCUACCUCUGUCAUCUUAAUUUCUAUUUUCAUGCAUUUGCUCAAAUUAAAGAUGUGGAGAUUAAAUGAAUGAACACAUGUAAAGCACGUAGAUUAGUAUCCAGCAGAUAUUAAGUGGCCAAUACUAUUAUGAUUGAUGCUGUUGUUCUUUGAUACUUUGAUCUCCACAACCUACAUCCAAUUGGUUCACUUUCCUUCUACACGAUUUGUCUGCUCUUCAAAUCUAACCUUUCUCUUCUGUUCAUCUUCUUACAUAGUCUCACUGCUACUUGGCCCUACUAAAAUUUAUUUUUGCUUCUUACCACAUUUGCCACAAAUGUUGAUAUAAACCAUUUCCAUUCUUCUGAGAUGUAUCACCUACUUACAGAGGUUAUUAUCUACCCAAAAUCUUCUCUUCUUCACUCCACUUGAACAUACUUGCAUUCACAUUCUCCUCUCUGUUUCAGAUAUCAACACUUUCCUCCUGGCUCAAAGGAAGGUGCAUUCUUUUCUGACUACACCCACAUCUCUGUUUAUUAUCCAGUUCAGUUAGCAUUAGGCUCGGCUGCAAAUAGAAAAAUCUCUAAUUAACAGUGGCUUUUAACAAGGUGUUUCCAUCAGGUGAAAAAUCUAGAAGGCGGCUCUUGAGGGCUCAUAGGGCAGCUCCACAAGUUGAUUUUUCCAUCUCACUGCUAUGCCAUCUCUAAAGCAUGCCUUCAUCCUUAUGGCACAAACUUGCUGCCUGAAAACCAGCGAACCCAACUUUCCAGGAAGUAAAAUGCACUUUAAAAGAUCAGGAGGGCUGGGCGAGGUCGUUUAGGCCUAUAAUCCCAGCACUGUAAUCCCAGCACUUUGAGAGGCCGAGGCGGGUGAAUCACCUGAAGGCAGGAGUUCAAGACCAGCCUGCCCAACAUGGUGAAACCCCGUCUCUACUAAAAAUACAAAAAAAAAAAUUAGCCAGGAAUGGUGGCGGGCACCUGUAAUCUCAGCUACUCAGGAGGCUGAAGCAGCAGAAUCGCUUGAACCCGGGAGGCGGAGGUUGCAGUGACCCAAGAUUGCGCCAUUGCACUCCACCCUGGGCGACAGAGCAAGACUCCGUCUCCAAAAAAAAAAGUCAGGGACGGCCUCCUCUCUUUUAGAUGCCAUCCCUAAAGACAUGCACACAAUUUAUACCUAAUUGGCUAAAACGUAGUCACAUAGCCACAUUUGGCUGCAAGAGAGACUAUAAAAUAAGCUAUUUUAAGCUGGGAAGCAGUGUGUCCAUCGACACAGUGUUCUGUGACUUUAAAUUAAAAAAUUGGUUUUCUGUCAUAAAGAAGUAGAGACUAGGUUUGGUGAGGCACUCAUUCAUCCUUUCUCACCUCCAACAAUAAUUUGCGUUUACUUAUUUUUUCAACCCCUUCCCAUCCCCUCAAACAUAGUUCUCUACCUUUUAUCUCAAAAGAUAACCAAAAAAACCUCUUGAUUCUGGUCAUACUCUUCCUUUCACUGUAACAAUAACAACAACAACAACAACAAAACCUUAUUCUUCUCCUUUACAAUUUCUUUAACGUUUUUUUCUUUUCUGCUAUUCCCAAUCCCUAAACACCAUCUCACGUUAUACAGCUUUCCACUUCGUCUCCGAGUUCCUGCGAGCACCUUAUAUCCCUUUUACCCCAACCAAGUCCUUAAAUUUUAUUUAUAUUUAGCGUCACAAUACACGAGUAAAUAUUGUCUUUUUUAAAAAAGCACAAAUAUCUCAAACUUCUCCCUUGGACAUACCAAUGGCUACAUUAAGCUCUUUAGAACGUAGAAAUGAAAGAACGCCUCCCGGGUUCAAACGAUUCUACUAAACAAAUGAAAGAACGAAUGGCAUGUAAGUGCGUUUUUACAAUUCAUGUGAACGGGUACGCUAAGACCCUCUGUCACUGCGGGCUUCGCUGCCCCGAUGAAGGUCUUUCCCAGCAAAAAUCUGGCUUGCCUUCUACAGCUCUGAAAUGCACACUUAAACCCAGGCCCUUUGUCUCUGACCGCCCUGGCCUGAACUGGCUGGGCGGAGAUUCUCGCGAAUUCUCGGAUCUGCGCGGAAAACGCGCUCGAGGCAGUUCUCUGACGCAUUUCCGGAGCGCCAGGGAAGAGGGAAGUCGUGGUGGUCGCGAGGGAGCCGGAAAGAUGGUGGUUACCAGAUCUGCACGGGCUAAGGCCAGCAUCCAAGCCGCGUCGGCUGAAAGUUCCGGGCAAAAGAGUUUUGCUGCUAAUGGGAUUCAAGCACAUCCAGAAAGUAGUACUGGAUCUGAUGCCCGAACUACUGCUGAAUCACAGACCACUGGGAAGCAAAGUUUAAUCCCUAGAACUCCUAAAGCUAGAAAGAGGAAGAGCAGAACUACAGGCUCACUACCAAAGGGAACUGAACCAUCUACGGAUGGAGAGACCUCUGAGGCAGAGUCAAAUUAUUCUGUGUCUGAGCACCAUGAUACCAUUUUAAGGGUAACUAGGAGAAGGCAGAUCUUAAUUGCAUGCUCCCCAGUGUCCAGUGUUAGGAAAAAGCCGAAAGUAACUCCAACAAAGGAGUCUCACACUGAAGAAAUAGUGUCUGAAGCAGAAUCUCAUGUUUCAGGUAUUUCUAGAAUUGUGCUUCCCACAGAAAAAACUACAGGAGCCAGAAGAAGUAAGGCUAAAUCUCUGACAGAUCCAAGCCAAGAAUCUCAUACAGAAGCUAUAUCUGAUGCUGAGACAUCAAGCUCAGACAUUUCAUUCUCUGGAAUUGCAACUAGAAGAACCAGGAGUAUGCAGAGGAAAUUAAAGGCACAAACUGAAAAGAAAGAUAGUAAGAUUGUACCAGGAAAUGAGAAACAGAUCGUGGGUACACCUGUGAAUUCAGAGGAUUCAGAUACCAGACAAACUUCCCAUUUACAAGCAAGAUCUCUUUCUGAGAUAAAUAAGCCAAAUUUCUAUAAUAAUGACUUUGAUGAUGAUUUCUCCCACAGAAGUUCAGAAAAUAUAUUAACAGUGCACGAACAGGCCAAUGUUGAAUCUCUUAAAGAAACAAAACAGAAUUGUAAGGAUUUGGAUGAAGAUGCCAAUGGAAUAACAGAUGAGGGGAAAGAAAUUAAUGAGAAAAGUUCUCAGCUGAAGAAUCUUUCUGAACUUCAGGACACUAGCCUUCAACAGUUAGUUUCUCAGAGACAUUCAACCCCCCAAAAUAAAAAUGCUGUAUCAGUGCACUCUAAUCUGAACUCUGAGGCUGUAAUGAAAUCAUUAACUCAAACAUUUGCAACUGUGGAAGUAGGCAGAUGGAAUAACAACAAAAAGAGCCCCAUAAAAGCAAGUGACUUGACAAAGUUUGGUGAUUGCGGUGGUAGUGAUGAUGAAGAAGAGUCCACAGUUAUAAGUGUCAGUGAAGACAUGAACAGUGAAGGGAAUGUAGAUUUUGAAUGUGAUACCAAACUAUACACGUCUGCGCCCAACACAUCUCAGGGUAAAGAUAAUUCUGUCUUAUUAGUUCUCAGCAGUGAUGAAAGCCAACAGUCUGAAAACAGUGAGAAUGAAGAGGAUACUUUAUGUUUUGUUGAAAAUAGUGGCCAAAGGGAGUCAUUAAGUGGAGACACAGGAAGUCUGUCAUGUGACAAUGCAUUGUUUGUAAUUGACACAACUCCUGGAAUGAGUGCUGAUAAAAAUUUUUACUUGGAAGAGGAAGACAAGGCAAGUGAGGUUGCCAUUGAGGAAGAAAAAGAAGAGGAAGAGGAUGAAAAAAGUGAAGAAGAUUCAUCAGACCAUGAUGAAAAUGAAGAUGAGUUUAGUGAUGAAGAAGACUUCCUAAAUAGCACAAAGGCUAAACUCUUCUGCAGAAAGCCGUCAUUACACCUGAUUUUGAAAAAAACCACUGUGUUCCACCAUAUAGUGAAUCAAAGUAUCAACUUCAGAAAAAACGCAGAAAAGAACGACAAAAAACAGCAGGGGAUGGCUGGUUUGGUAUGAAAGCUCCAGAAAUGACAAAUGAACUGAAAAAUGAUCUCAAAGCACUGAAGAUGAGAGCCAGCAUGGACCCGAAAAGAUUUUACAAGAAAAAUGAUAGAGAUGGCUUCCCCAAGUACUUCCAGAUUGGAACCAUUGUUGACAAUCCAGCUGAUUUCUACCAUUCACGAAUUCCCAAGAAGCAAAGGAAAAGAACUAUUGUGGAAGAACUGCUGGCUGAUUCUGAAUUCAGAAGAUACAACCGAAGGAAGUACUCAGAGAUCAUGGCUGAAAAAGCAGCAAAUGCAGCAGGAAAAAAGUUCCGAAAGAAGAAGAAAUUUCGCAAUUAAGAUUUACCAAGCAAACUGCAACAUUUUACAUCGCUCCUUUAUUUACUUAUUAAAGACAUUUGGAAAACUAA